rnacentral:rRNA from 1 species
AUUGAACGCUGGCGGCAUGCUUUACACAUGCAAGUCGAACGGCAGCACGGGCUUCGGCCUGGUGGCGAGUGGCGAACGGGUGAGUAAUAUAUCGGAACGUACCCAGAAGUGGGGGAUAACGUAGCGGAAGUUACGCUAAUACCGCAUACGAUCUAUGGAUGAAAGCAGGGGACCGCAAGGCCUUGUGCUCCUGGAGCGGCCGAUAUCUGAUUAGCUAGUUGGUGAGGUAAAGGCUCACCAAGGCGACGAUCAGUAGCUGGUCUGAGAGGACGACCAGCCACACUGGAACUGAGACACGGUCCAGACUCCUACGGGAGGCAGCAGUGGGGAAUUUUGGACAAUGGGCGCAAGCCUGAUCCAGCAAUGCCGCGUGAGUGAAGAAGGCCUUCGGGUUGUAAAGCUCUUUUGUCAGGGAAGAAACGGUAGAGGCUAAUAUCCUUUGCUAAUGACGGUACCUGAAGAAUAAGCACCGGCUAACUACGUG